CCUUGCCUCUUUAACUAGAGAGACUGCAAGCUCACUGAGUGCAGGGACUAUGCCUUAUUCUACUUUUGGCUAGCACAGUGCCUAAUUCAGGGCUGGCCAGAUAGUGACAAUGAAUGACUGUUUUUUUGGAUGAAUGAAUACAAGAAUGAAUAAAUGAAAGAAUGAACAGCUAAAGAAAGAAUGAAUGAAGUUAGGGUACAGAAUGAAUAGACGUGUAUUGUUCCCUGGGAAAGGCAGUGGAUAUGGCUAUAGGGCCACUAGCCAAAAUACCGCCAUUACAGAAACAAUUAAAACAACCAGAGGCUAAAGGAGACUACCAAGUCCAUUUUUGGUAUCUUGAAAACAUUUUAUUUCAAUACUAUCCUCAUGUGGCGGCAUAAAUAAUCACAGGAGACAACACAGUUCAAGUAAGGAGAUGGGAGAAAGAAAGCAAAAGGUGUGAGUGGACAGAGAAUUACUUUCAUCCAGCUAGUGCUAGACAGUCAUGUAAAAGGCCCUAUAUAGUAAUGGGAGAAAGCAAGGGAAUGUGGUAGAAUCCCAUAGCAGCCAGUGGCUGACAUGGGCCCCGCUCCUGUGGGGUGGGUUUGUCUAGCUACUUGGCUGUGGCACAUAGUACUGGAAAAGUUAACAGCGAUAAACCUAGCUGUUGGGCUUUAUAGCUUGCCUGGCCUUGCCAUCUAGUCUUCACAAACAUAAACAGAUGUGUUUGGCCCAGAUAUCUGUCGUUGUGCCCAUGGGGAAAAAGAGAUGUGUGCAGAAGAACCAGAGUGGAAUAGCACUUGGGUAGUAUAUCUGGGCCAUCUUAGUCUCAUGCUUCCCAGAGGAAGAAGGCAACUUCUCAACCUGAGUCUAGGGAGAAGACCAGAGUUAACCCAGGGAAGGAGAGAAGUGUCUCACUGCUUGAAAAGGCUCAGUCCAGGUCUUUAUAAUACAAUUGGCACAAUUAUUGUUGAGGGUGUAGAAGGAUUUCUCUCCUAUUAAAAUUUCCCAGAAUGACUUGGACAUAAGUCCCACUGAAAAUGGUAUCAUGAUGUCAUGAGAAGAACCCUGCAUGAGGAGACAGGAGACCUGACUUCAAGUUCAUGCUUUGCCACUAUCUGGGUGGCUUUCGGUAAGUCACUUCAGUUCAUGCCUUGGUUUUCCCAUUUGUAAAAUGGGAAUAAUACUGCCCUCUCUACUACACAGGAGUGUUGUGAAGGUCAAAUGAAAUCAUUUAUGUUUAAGUGCUUUGAAAAGUAUAAAGCGCUAUGCAAAUACAAGGGAUGGUUAUUAUUUCAGUAGGUGUUUGGUUUGGUUUUAAAGACACAGAGGUUGUUUUUGGUGGGAAAGAAAUAAAAGGAAACCUGGCUCUUCCAAGUUAAGAACUGAGGUUUACAGGGGCUGCUUUGAAAGAAGAGAGGAGGGAGGUGGAAGAAGAGGAGAAAAGAGAGUAUUUCAAUGAAUAUCAGCGAAUUAAGCCCUUAUUUCAUGGCAUCUACAAGCAAGUGGCUUUGAGCUUCAGCUAUUGAGAGCUGUGUAUUCCCCGCCGCCGCCCUCUGCAUGGGAAAAGUUAACCGCAGUCAACCUGGCUGUUUCAUUUUAUGGCUUCCCCAGCUUCUCUAUGUCGUCUUCCGGCCAGCUUUAAGCAGCCCCUCUUGGUGAGUUCUCUAAUCUUGUGAUCCAUCAGAAGAGAUGCCACCCGCUAAUUCCUCCAAGAAAACCAUAGGGGUACGAAUCCAGAGUCAGCCCUCUCCAGGACAGUAGUUUUCAGUUACAGCAGUACAGUUUUUGAGUUCCAGCUGCAGCUGCCGAAUGCGGAUGUCUUUCUGGGAGAGUUCCUCUUUCAAUCGCCGAAUCUCGUCCUGCUGUCGGAAGAACAUUCGGAGGAGCUGAGAGGGAGGGACAAACAGAUGGGGUGGAAAGAGAAUAAAGAGAAAAAUGAGGAAACUGAGGCUGAAGGAGGUUAAGUGACUUACCCAGGGUCACUCAGCUAGUAAAUGUCUGAAGCAAGAUUCAACACAAGCCUUCCUGAAUUCAAGCCCAGCGUCUAUCUAUCUACUAAGCCGUGUUGCCUCAGGCACAAAGGACAUAUUUGAAGCAUCCUGUGCUGGCCCCUCUCACAUCUCACCCCCAAGAAAAAACAUAACGAUGAAUUGUCAGUUGCCAUCACCACCUAAACAUCAUGGCAGAGACCAGACAGCUGAGAAACAACAUGGCCAGUGGAGCUGAUUAGCACAUGUGCUGUUGGAUUCUUUUUGUAUGUAUCUAUCAUUGGUGGUUUGUUAUGUUAUUGAUAAACCCUGUGGUUAAAUUUAA